rnacentral:rRNA from 1 species
UACGGAAGGCAGCAGUGGGGAAUAUUGCACAAUGGGCGCAAGCCUGAUGCAGCCAUGCCGCGUGUAUGAAAAAGGCCUUCGGGUUGUAAAGUACUUUCAGUCGUGAGGAAGGUGUUAAGGUUAAUAACCUUAGCAAUUGACGUUAGCGACAGAAGAAGCACCGGCUAACUCCGUGCCAGCAGCCGCGGUAAUACGGAGGGUGCGAGCGUUAAUCGGAAUUACUGGGCGUAAAGGGCACGCAGGCGGUUAAUUAAGUUGGAUGUGAAAUCCCCGGGCUUAACCUGGGAAUGGCAUUCAAGACUGGUUAGCUAGAGUCUUGUAGAGGGGGUAGAAUUCCAUGUGUAGCGGUGAAAUGCGUAGAGAUGUGGAGGAAUACCGGUGGCGAAGGCGGCCCCUGGCAAAGGACUGACGCUCAUGUGCGAAAGCGUGGGGAGCAAACGAGGGAUUAGAUACC